rnacentral:rRNA from 1 species
GACAGAGGAUGCAAGCGUUAUCCGGAAUGAUUGGGCGUAAAGCGUCUGUAGGUGGCUUUUUAAGUCUGCCGUCAAAUCCCAGGGCUUAACCCUGGACAGGCGGUGGAAACUACCAAGCUGGAGUACGGUAGGGGCAGAGGGAAUUUCCGGUGGAGCGGUGGAAUGCGUAGAGAUCCGGAAGAACACCGGUGGCGAAGGCGGCCUGCUGGGGUCUUGGCUGACGCUGAGGCGCGACAGCGUGGGGAGCAAACAGG